UACGUAGGGGGCUAGCGUUGUCCGGAAUCAUUGGGCGUAAAGCGCGUGUAGGCGGUCCGGUAAGUCCGCUGUGAAAGUCGGGGGCUCAACCCUCGAAUGCCGGUGGAUACUGUCGGGCUAGAGUGCGGAAGAGGCGAGUGGAAUUCCUGGUGUAGCGGUGAAAUGCGCAGAUAUCAGGAGGAACACCAAUUGCGAAGGCAGCUCGCUGGGACGUUACUGACGCUGAGACGCGAAAGCGCGGGGAGCAAACAGG
rnacentral:rRNA from 1 species